rnacentral:rRNA from 1 species
UACGAAGGGGGCUAGCGUUGCUCGGAAUCACUGGGCGUAAAGAGCUCGUAGGUGGUUUGUCGCGUUGUUCGUGAAAACUCACAGCUUAACUGUGGGCGUGCGGGCGAUACGGGCAGACUGGAGUACUGCAGGGGAGACUGGAAUUCCUGGUGUAGCGGUGGAAUGCGCAGAUAUCAGGAGGAACACCGGUGGCGAAGGCGGGUCUCUGGGCAGUAACUGACACUGAGGAGCGAAAGCGUGGGGAGCGAACAGG